CAUGUGGUUUAAUUCGAUGAUACGCGAAGGAACCUUACCUGGGCUUAAUGGGGAGUGACAGCUGUCGAAAGAUGGUUUUCUUCGGACACUCUUCAAGGUGCUGCAUGGUUGUCGUCAGCUCGGUGCCGUGAGGUGUCGGGUUAAGUCCCAUAACGAGCGCAACCCUUACCGUUAGUUACCAUCAGGUUAAGCUGGGGACUCUAGCGGGACUGCCACCGUAAGGUGAGAGGAAGGUGGGGAUGACGUCAAAUCAGCACGGCCCUUAUGUCCAGGGCUACACACGUGUUACAAUGGCCGGUACAAAGGGCAGCUACUUCGCGAGAAGAUGCUAAUCUCGAAAGCCGGUCUCAGUUCGGAUCGAAGUCUGCAACCCGACUUCGUGAAGCUGGAUUCGCUAGUAAUCGCGCAUCAGCCAUGGCGCGGUGAAUACGUUCCCGGGCCUU
rnacentral:rRNA from 1 species